rnacentral:rRNA from 1 species
AUUGAACGCUGGCGGCAGGCCUAACACAUGCAAGUCGAACGAGUGGCGGACGGGUGAGUAAUGUCUGGGAAACUGCCCGAUGGAGGGGGAUAACUACUGGAAACGGUAGCUAAUACCGCAUACCAUCGGAUGUGCCCAGAUGGGAUUGGCUGGUAGGUGGGGUAACGGCUCACCUAGGAGACGAUCCCUAGCUGGGCUGAGAGGAAGACCAGCCACACUGGAACUGAGACACGGCCCAGACUCCUACGUGAGGCAGCAGUGGGGAAUAUUGCACAAUGGGCGCAAGCCUGAUGCAGCCAUGCCGCGGGUAGGAAGAAGGCCUUAGGGUUGUAAAGUACUUUCAGCGGGGAGGCGUUACCCGCAGAAGAAGCACCGGCUAACUCCGUGCCAGCCGCCGCGGUAAUUC